CUCAGAAACGGCGUCGUUCCUCCUAAACCUCUAGAGGACAUCUAGGGUUUAUUUUGCAAGUUGGUGUUUGGUGUUGGCAGAUCAAAGUAGAAUUGGAUCAUGGAUACCAAAAUUACAGGAGACAUCUUGGAGCAUCUAGAAAGACAGCAUGAGCUGCUCAUGGAGACGUACGAAUCAAUUUCAAAUGAAUUGCAUAAGCUUCAGGUGGAGGAAGAGAUGUUAAUGCAAAAGUUGUGUGAAGUUGCUUCUGCUGAGAAGGAUGAAGCCAGCACCAGUCAUGCCCAUGAUACCCAGAAGCAGACUCCAAAGAAUUAGUUCAGAGAGGCUCAUCAAUCAACCUCUCAUCUUAAACUUUCUAGUGUAAAUUUACAUUUCUCCAUGGAUGUGGAUGGAACUUGCCAUUUUCUGCAACCAGCAUUCAUGGCCUGGGCUGUUUAUUGAAUGGGCCUGAGACCCUGGCCCAUUCAAACUUUGUCCAACCUCAAACCCUCAAACUACCAAAAGGUCAGAGAGAGAGAAGCCCAAUAGUCCAAAGAGAGAUUAUUGAAUGGGCAAAAUGGCAUCAAGAACAGGGGCAAUUUUGAAAGAGAAGGAGAUGCAAGUGGAGAAUUGUCGGUGGGGAGAGGGGAUGAUGAAAUGGCAAUUAUUGGAAUCCAAAAUCGGGGCUGCUAAAACACAUAAUUCCAUUGCAACAAAGCUUAGCAAUUGUACUGCAUAUGUCUCCAUUCUUUUUGUCAUUUUCAUCAUCCCCCUUUAUAGGGAAACCAAAUCAAUGAUGGUCCAGCAUGAAAGAUAUGAUAAAAGCAACCUAGCACCCAGUGCCUCCCCUCCUUUUGAUGUUUAAUAGGAGGAUUUCUAGGCCCCCACAAAUCCCAUUCACAACAGACUAGAGGUUUGAUUACAAGGGUCUCACACAAUUUAUUUUGAAUCACGUUUGUUUCUGGAAAGGGUCUAGUUUAGAGACAUUGGUGGUGGCACCUGAGAGUUGUGUUUGUGUGCAAAAUUUAAUAAUAAUAAUAAUAAAAUGUGCCAAUUCUAUAUAACAUCUCUAGAAAA